UACAGAGGUCCCAAGCGUUGUUCGGAUUCACUGGGCGUAAAGGGUGCGCAGGUGGCGCUUCAAGUUUGAUGUGAAAGCUUCGGGCUUAACCCGGAAAUGGCAUUGAAUACUGGAGUGCUGGAGGUUUGGAGGGGGGACUGGAAUUCUCGGUGUAGCAGUGAAAUGCGUAGAGAUCGGGAGGAACACCAGUGGCGAAGGCGGCUCGCUGGGCCGGUCCUGACACUGAGGCGCGAAGGCGUGGGGAGCGAACGGG
rnacentral:rRNA from 1 species